GGAGGGUAUAGCUCAGUGGUAGAGCGCAUGCUUAGCAUGCAUGAGGUCCUGGGUUCAAUCCCCAGUACCUCCA
rnacentral:tRNA from 1 species